rnacentral:lncRNA from 1 species
CCAACACUAAGUAGGCUCGAGCCAGAUGUCUGCCUGUGCUUCCCCCAGCAUUCUGACAUUCGUCGAUCCUUUUCAAAAACUUUCCUUCCAACUCUACCAAACCUUGCUCCAGAUACCCCAAACGGAUGUUGACGUUGAUAUCCAUAUCUUUCCAUUUGUUGAUUAGCUUCUCUUGGGAUUCCAGUAUUUCUCGAUGUUCGUUCUUAAAUACUCUCAUUCUCUUGCGCAGUUGAUUGUACUUGACUUGCACUUCAGCUUUCUCAUCAAUAAUUCUGUGACCAUGCAUGAACCCCGGACGACCCAAACCAAUGUGAUCCUCUUCUAACCAACAUGUGUAGUGCGGCACACACCCGACAUGAUACCUAUCUGGUUCAAUA